UGGGGAAUCUUCCGCAAUGGACGAAAGUCUGACGGAGCAACGCCGCGUGUAUGAUGAAGGUCUUCGGAUUGUAAAGUACUGUCAUUGGGGAAGAACGGUUUUCUUGAAAAGAUUGAGAAGACAUGACGGUACCCAAGGAGGAAGCCCCGGCUAACUACGUGCCAGCAGCCGCGGUAAUACGUAGGGGGCAAGCGUUGUCCGGAAAUUAUUGGGCGUAAAGGCGCGUAGGCGGGCCUUUAAGUCCGGUGUGAAAGAUCAGGGCUCAACCCUGAGAGUGCAUCGGAAACUGGAGGCCUUGAGGACAGGAGAGGAAAGUGGAAUUCCACGUGUAGCGGUGAAAUGCGUAGAUAUGUGGAGGAACACCAGUGGCGAAAGGCGACUUUCUGGACUGUAACUGACGCUGAGGCGCGAAAGCGUGGGGAGCAAACAGGAUUAGAUACCCUGG
rnacentral:rRNA from 1 species